GUGGGGAAUCUUAGACAAUGGGCGCAAGCCUGAUCUAGCCAUGCCGCGUGAGUGAUGAAGGCCCUAGGGUUGUAAAGCUCUUUUACCCGGGAUGAUAAUGACAGUACCGGGAGAAUAAGCUCCGGCUAACUCCGUGCCAGCAGCCGCGGUAAUACGGAGGGAGCUAGCGUUGUUCGGAAUUACUGGGCGUAAAGCGCACGUAGGCGGCUUUGUAAGUUAGAGGUGAAAGCCUGGAGCUUAACUCCAGAACUGCCUUUAAGACUGCAUCGCUUGAAUCCAGGAGAGGUGAGUGGAAUUCCGAGUGUAGAGGUGAAAUUCGUAGAUAUUCGGAAGAACACCAGUGGCGAAGGCGGCUCACUGGACUGGUAUUGACGCUGAGGUGCGAAAGCGUGGGGAGCAAACAGGAUUAGAAACCCGAGUAGUCC
rnacentral:rRNA from 1 species